CUCAGGAUGAACGCUGGCGGCGUGCUUAACACAUGCAAGUCGAACGAUGACUUUUGUGCUUGCACAGAAUGAUUAGUGGCGAACGGGUGAGUAACACGUGAGUAACCUGCCCCUGACUCUGGGAUAAGCCUGGGAAACUGGGUCUAAUACUGGAUAUGCACCGUAGACCGCAUGGUUUUUGGUGGAAAGAAUUUUGGUCAGGGAUGGACUCGCGGCCUAUCAGCUUGUUGGUGAGGUAAUGGCUCACCAAGGCGACGACGGGUAGCCGGCCUGAGAGGGUGACCGGCCACACUGGGACUGAGACACGGCCCAGACUCCUACGGGAGGCAGCAGUGGGGAAUAUUGCACAAUGGGCGAAAGCCUGAUGCAGCGACGCCGCGUGAGGGAUGACGGCCUUCGGGUUGUAAACCUCUUUCAGUAGGGAAGAAGCGAAAGGACG
rnacentral:rRNA from 1 species